rnacentral:rRNA from 1 species
UGAGGAACAUGACCUUCGGCGGGGGAUAGCCGGCCCAACGGCCGGGUAAUACCGCGUACGACCUUUCGGGGACAUCCCUGGAUGGUGAAAGCAGCAAUGCGCCGAUGGAGUGCCUCGCGGCCUAUCAGCUAGUUGGUGGGGUAACGGCCUACCAAGGCAACGACGGGUAGCUGGUCUGAGAGGAUGGCCAGCCACAUUGGGACUGAGACACGGCCCAGACUCCGUACGGGGAGCAGNAGGU